AUUGAACGCUGGCGGCAUGCCUUACACAUGCAAGUCGAACGGCAGCACGGGAGCAAUCCCGGUGGCGAGUGGCGAACGGGUGAGUAAUAUAUCGGAACGUGCCCAGUCGUGGGGGAUAACGUAGCGAAAGCUACGCUAAUACCGCAUACGAUCUAUGGAUGAAAGCGGGGGAUCGCAAGACCUCGCGCGAUUGGAGCGGCCGAUAUCAGAUUAGGUAGUUGGUGAGGUAAAGGCUCACCAAGCCGACGAUCUGUAGCUGGUCUGAGAGGACGACCAGCCACACUGGGACCGAGACACGGCCCAGACUCCUACGGGAGGCAGCAGUGGGGAAUUUUGGACAAUGGGCGCAAGCCUGAUCCAGCAAUGCCGCGUGCAGGAUGAAGG
rnacentral:rRNA from 1 species